GCUGUUUGACUUUUGAGCAAAAGCCAACUGUGAUCUAGAUUCUGCUAGCAGCUGCUCUGUUUCCUGCAGUUUACGUUUGGUUGCCUCAAGGUCCUCUGUAGAUCUUGCCAAGUCCUUUGACAGGUUCUCCUUGGCUAAUUUUAGCUCUUCAAUGUCCUCUGAUGAGAGUUUGGGUAAUAUGGAAUUUGAUUCAUAGCUGGAGACUAGAUUUCCAUCGUAAGGAACUUCAAUAUCAGAAGUUGGACUAGAAACAUGGGAACAACCGUUGGUAUAUCUUUCGUCCAGUGAGUCAUUUUGGACAACCUUGUGCUCUGGUAAAGCUACCUUGUCUAUGCAAUCG
rnacentral:misc_RNA from 1 species